UGCCGAAAUAGCUCAGUUGGGAGAGCGUUAGACUGAUGAUUUAAAGGUCCCUUUUAUAAGGGCAUGUAGCUCAGGUGGUAG